AUUGAACGCUGGCGGCAUGCCUUACACAUGCAAGUCGAACGGUAACGCGGGGCAACCUGGCGACGAGUGGCGAACGGGUGAGUAAUGCAUCGGAACGUGCCCAGUAGUGGGGGAUAGCCCGGCGAAAGCCGGAUUAAUACCGCAUACGACCUACGGGUGAAAGCGGGGGACCGUAAGGCCUCGCGCUAUUGGAGCGGCCGAUGUCAGAUUAGGUUGUUGGUGGGGUAAAAGCCUACCAAGCCGACGAUCUGUAGCUGGUCUGAGAGGACGACCAGCCACACUGGGACUGAGACACGGCCCAGACUCCUACGGGAGGCAGCAGUGGGGAAUUUUGGACAAUGGGGGCAACCCUGAUCCAGCCAUGCCGCGUGCGGGAAGAAGGCCUUCGGGUUGUAAACCGCUUUUGUCAGGGAGGAAACGCUCUGGGCUAAUACCCUGGGGUAAUGACGGUACCUGAAGAAUAAGCACCGGCUAACUACGUGCCAGCCGCCGCAGUAA
rnacentral:rRNA from 1 species